GUGAAGCAAAUUUCUUUCAAAACAGGAAUGACAAAGAUCAACAGUUUCGCUGGUGAAAGUUAUGCUGAAGCAUGAAAAUGUUCUGCCUCGUGCUGGAUGUGGUUCCAUGAAUACUGGUUGCCUUCUUGCAGCUGGUCCAGGCUGUUACUACUAUUGGCAUCAUCAGAGAGAUGGAAGAGGCAUGGAAGAGUUAAUAAGCCGAUGGAAUGAGGAAUGAACUAAUGUUGGCAAAGACAUGGCUGCUAAUUCAAGGAGAUCACAACGUUUGGAUCUUGUGUGUUACUUUACCAUUCUGCUGUCCAAGAGACUAAUUCUUUAAGUUUUCAAAUUAUACAUUAUUCCCACACUCAGUCUAAGAGGGAGAGCUUCCAGUUAUGUCAACAGGCAAACAGUAACUUGGAAAUAGUGAAAAAAUAACUCCCUGGUUUUGCAAAGUUUUCUACUUAAAGAUCUGGAUAGGAAAUGUAGAUAUUAGAUUUGAACAUGAAUUGAAGCAGCAACUUGAGUUUAGGGCCUUUAAUUGAGCUACAGGAAUAAGAUUGCUUUAUUUAAAACAAAUAAUUUUUGCCUUC